rnacentral:rRNA from 1 species
GAUGAACGCUGGCGGCGUGCCUAAUACAUGCAAGUCGAGCGAACAGACGAGGAGCUUGCUUCUCUGACGUUAGCGGCGGACGGGUGAGUAACACGUGGAUAACCUACCUAUAAGACUGGGAUAACUUCGGGAAACCGGAGCUAAUACCGGAUAAUAUAUUGAACCGCAUGGUUCAAUAGUGAAAGACGGUUUUGCUGUCACUUAUAGAUGGAUCCGCGCCGCAUUAGCUAGUUGGUAAGGUAACGGCUUACCAAGGCAACGAUGCGUAGCCGACCUGAGAGGGUGAUCGGCCACACUGGAACUGAGACACGGUCCAGACUCCUGCGGGAGGCAGCAGUAGGGAAUCUUCCGCAAUGGGCGAAAGCCUGACGGAGCAACGCCGCGUGAGUGAUGAAGGUCUUCGGAUCGUAAAACUCUGUUAUUAGGGAAGAACAAAUGUGUAAGUAACUAUGCACGUCUUGACGGUACCUAAUCAGAAAGCCACGGCUAACUACGUG